rnacentral:sRNA from 2 species
GCAUUAGCGGCGACGUUUACCCAUUUCCUGGCCUGUUUGCUGGGACGGACAGGCGCAGUCUAGCACCGACUAGCCAGCCCAGAGGCAACGCUGGAUUGGCCUGUGCCCGCGAUGGAUGGGGACCACCCAACAGCCUACAGGGGGGUGGGACUAAGGGAGAGCAGGAACUAGGAAGAAAAAAGAGGGUUGGUCAUGAAGGUCAGCUAGGGAGCAAAAACGCUUGCAUAUGCGCCAUGUGACUGGUCCGAUGGACCUUGUGCUGCCACUCCAGGACUCAGGACUCCGGACUCCAGAUUCCACGCUGCCCUAUGGUCUACACAGUGCGCAGUACGCAGUAGCAG